rnacentral:rRNA from 1 species
AACGAACGCUGGCGGCAUGCCUAACACAUGCAAGUCGAACGAGACCUUCGGGUCUAGUGGCGUACGGGUGCGUAACGCGUGGAAACCUGCCCUUAGGUUCGGAAUAACUCCCCGAAAGGGGUGCUAAUACCGGAUAAUGUCUUCGGACCAAAGAUUUAUCGCCUUUGGAUGGGCCCGCGUUGGAUUAGCUAGUUGGUAGGGUAAAAGCCUACCAAGGCGACGAUCCAUAGCUGGUCUGAGAGGAUGAUCAGCCACACUGGGACUGAGACACGGCCCAGACUCCUACGGGAGGCAGCAGUGGGGAAUAUUGGACAAUGGGCGAAAGCCUGAUCCAGCAAUGCCGCGUGAGUGAUGAAGGCCUUAGGGUUGUAAAGCUCUUUUACCCGGGAUGAUAAUGACAGUACCGGGAGAAUAAGCUCCGGCUAACUCCGUG